rnacentral:rRNA from 1 species
AUACGGAGGGUGCAAGCGUUGUCCGGAUUUAUUGGGUUUAAAGGGUGCGUAGGUGGUUUUUUAAGUCAGUGGUGAAAGCCUACAGCUUAACUGUAGAGGUGCCAUUGAUACUGGGGAACUUGGGUAUGAACGAGGUAGGCGGAAUUUGUGGUGUAGCGGUGAAAUGCAUAGAUACCACAAGGAACACCGAUAGCGAAGGCAGCUUACUGGGCCAUAACUGACACUGAGGCACGAAAGCGUGGGGAGCGAACAGAAUUAGAAACCCUAAUAGUCC